CAGAACUUAAAUUAUCCCAGCGUCUCUCACUCAAAGCACAUCUGCUUGCAGGAAUGUUAUGUUGCCUAAGGAUAACAUGAGUUCCACAUUCUCUGAAGCCACCACAUCUCAAGCCCACACGGAACUACACUGCUUCCUCCUCUUGAAGGAACGAGUGUCACCGUUGCAUGUAGUUUUAAGAGACCAUGCUUGCUCCUUGCCUAGUCUUCUUGCCAGGUGCUCCGACUUAGCUCCCGCCUCCGAGAUCACACUGCUGCUGGCCCCACUUCUACCCUGCCCGUUCCAAGGCCAGGGUGGCUACAUUACUUUUCUACUGACAAAACACCGUGACCAAAGCAACUUAAGGGCUAUUUACUUGUGGUUCCAGAGGGUAAGAAGCUGGCAGCAGGUAGGAACAGCAGUUGGGGCUAAAAGUUGACAGUUCAAAUCUUGAAUCACAAGCAAAAGCUUUUGGCAAACUGGGAAUGGCAUGUGACCUUGAAAGCUCAGAGCCUGUCCCCAGUGACGCACUUUUUUCCUAAACCAAAAAUUCAAAACACCUGAGACUGGGGACAUUCUCAUCCAAACCACCACCGUGGCUAAGCUGAUGUUCUGGGAUGCAAAGACAGGACCAGCAACAGUUGCACAAUGCAAUAAAGCCUAUGUUUCUGUCUCUAACUUCUCUUUCAACAGUUCAACAAAUGGCUAAGGCCUUCCUGCAUAGUUCCACAUGUUGGGGAAUGUUUUUACGCAGUGUAUUGGAAUGCUGAUUUCUGUACCUGGAGACCAUCUGGGUGCAGUCCAGACCCUGGCCAUCAUUACAAAACAUUUUCUGACUCAGUAUUUUGUAAGACGUUGUUCUCCUCUAUGUCUGAUUGGUUAGAGCUGACCAGCCUAUAUCGGGGAGGACAGUUAAGGCUAGACUUCUAAUCCCAGUGAGGGGUCCUGGGUGGAGAGUGUUGAGUGGCCAUGAGGACACAGAUGGGUAGGAACAACCAGGGAGAGACUAGGAAGGCAGGUAAUGGGGCACAUGGCUGGGUACUAGGCAGCACAGCAGGGCUAGAAUAAAUCAGAACCCUACCUAGCUGUAGUGCAAGAAGCUUAUCAAUAAAUAUACCAGGUCUCCUUGUCAUCAUUUCAAAGCAAGGGCAGGCCCAGAAAAGCCCUGAACUUUUACAUCCACAUUAUACUUAGGUCAAGCGAAGGAGAAAGGGAAACCAAGGGUUUCUAGUAUGUGGAGGAGCCCCCUGGCUCCUGACCCUACCUGUACCCCACUACUCUAAACACAAGGGUAGAGCAGGUCUUUAAGGUCACAUGUCUGGAACCAGUAAGUUUUACAAUGUAGGGGGAAGUGCUGCAUCUAAGUGCACUUCAUAGAUGAGGAAACGUAUGCAGCCACAUAAACACACACCACAACCACCGAUGGGAAGACGCAGAUUUUUCCAGCUCUUUUAUUUUCUUAUCAUGUUAACAAUAGAAGAUUCCCCAAAGUUAAAAAAAAAAAAACUUUGAAAAAUAGAAAGUUUCAUACUAUUUACAUGACAUAUGAGUACAGGUUCCAGUAUCAUACAAACGUCCCAUGAGAAACAGUGAGAAGGCAUGAUGUAAUUCUCUGCCUUUUAGAUGCGAUGCCUAAUACUCGUGGUCUCCCUUCUGACUCCUGUGUUGUCUGCUAUCCUGAUACAGAAACUGUUUGGUAACUGAGAGGCUGGAACUACUGGUAAACUUCAAUGCCUUCUAUUUUGUUUGCUCUUUUUUAUUUUCAAAACUUACUGCAUUUGAAUGCUCUGUAUCCCUUUACACUUCCCACAGCUAGGUCUACUCUCACUUCUCAAAUGACCAAGCAUUAGUCACAUGAACUGCUAUGUGUUUAUAGAUUUAAAAUUUAAGCAUAACAAUAUAUAGCCAUGCCGUGUGUGGUAUGCAUUUAAUCUCGGGGAUUCCCUCCUGCUUUCCUUUGUUUCUAUGUUACCAACUGUUUUUUUAAAAACAUUAAAAAAAAAAACUAGAAUAAUCUCGCCAAUUAAUCAAAAACCUAAGAUUAAAAAUUCUACAUUAUAUUUUUAUUUGUAUUUAAAAAUACACUGGAAAUUCUGUAUAGGCCCAUGAUCGAGCUUAUUUUGGACGUACAUUUCUUCGGUUUUGAAGACAUGGUUUGUCUGACAAGACCUUUCGCAAGCUGAACACCAAGAUCGGGAAAGUCCUGUGGCUUUCGCUGGCGCUGCUGCCGAUGACGCGAGUCGCUCCCUUGCUGCUGGAUCUGGGUGCCUGUCAUUUGCCCUUUAUCACCUGAACAGUUUUCCGACCAUAGUGAUAAUAACUGUAUGCGGACGCAGCUGUAGUGAAUGCUGUACAACACCUUCAAAGGAGAGAAACGCACUGCUUCAGCCUUCCAAUCCCAAAACACCACCAGCAGGAACCAUGAAGUACACAAGUAAAAGUGAGCUAAGAAAAUAGGACUCUGUGAUGAAAUUUAACUACAAAAUCUAAAGUCACGGCUUCCUUCGAGACUGCAUUUAAACUGGCAAUGCCAAAUAAAAGCCAUCUAAUU
rnacentral:lncRNA from 1 species